UUAACAGCUGCCGGUUAAAUGCUGAGCCAGGUAAAAAAGUGUUUUACCCCGUGGUGUUCAGUCUUUACAACCCUGCCAUCGUCUAUGCCAACCAGGAAGUGCCACCUCCCGUGGAGCAGCAGCUGGUGAGACUGUAUCUUUGCUUAGGAAAGGCUUAAUGGUCUUUUCUAAUUUCCUUUCUUUGUUGUAAAACUAAAAUUUCAAUUAAAAAAAUAGCUGUUUCAA
rnacentral:lncRNA from 1 species